rnacentral:rRNA from 1 species
UACGUAGGGGGCUAGCGUUGUCCGGAUUUAUUGGGCGUAAAGAGCGUGUAGGCGGCCAUGUAGGUCCGGUGUGAAAACUCGAGGCUUAACCUCGAGAUGUCAUCGGAAACCAUUUGGCUAGAGUCCGGAAGAGGAGAGUGGAAUUCCUGGUGUAGCGGUGAAAUGCGCAGAUAUCAGGAGGAACACCAGUGGCGAAAGCGGCUUCCUGGUCCAGCACCGACGUUCAGGCACGAAAGCGUGGGGAGCAAACAGG